rnacentral:lncRNA from 1 species
UGUGUUUUUAUCCUUGUCUCUUAACCCUAAGACGGAUUAAGUUGGCAGCUGGAAGCAUCUGCUUCUCCGCGGUUUGGUUGCUCCCCCUGGUUGGGUGUCUGUACUCUGUAUAUACCAAGUCUUGACGUCAACGAUGACAUCAUCAAUCCCCUGAUUUUUGAUUUUUUCGUCGUUGUUUUGCUUGCAUAUGCUGUCAAGAAGCGCUUCAUCCCCCGUGAGUUUCUUGAACUUCAUUCAUUCCCCUUUCCCGUCUAGUCCUCCGGACAAGCUUUAACUAAUUCUAAGGUUUUGGGUCGUACGCCAAAGCAAAAAGAAAGCAAAAAGCUUCAGCUUUGAGGCGGUAGUCAUUUUGGCAUCCAAUAGAUGAAUCGUUGUUGGCGGGUUUUCUCUUUCUUUGCCCCCUUUUUUUUUUUUUAUAAGAAACGAUGAAUGUAGAUUGAUAAUAUGGAUCCAAGCACUCAUCUUUCUUUAAUUUUGAGUCACUUCUGUCGAUUGUUCAUUGUUAUAUGCUGGGUCCCGAAUUGUGGUUUAGUUGGUAUGAACAGAAACUUGGAGCUUUUAUGUGAAUUUACAGGAGGCAAUAGUUUAUAAUAUAUGUGCAUACAUUGGAUACUGGUAGUUCGUACAUUAGCAAAAGCUGUUUACUAUAGUGUACAAGUUUCAUCAAGAACUGUAGACAAAAGCAGCAAAAGCUGGUAUGUACAUUAGCAAAAGGUGAUCAUUGACAAAAAUAGGUGACUUUAUGACACUAAACUGAUCUCAAAAGCUGAUGCAAAACAUAGGAAUGGUGCAUGAUUUUAGUCGAUUAUUUGGUGCUUUGGCUGGUCAGUGAUUGUUGCUGGUGGAUCUCUUUUCUUAGUUGCUGUAGCUUGUGCGAUGGUUGGAUUGGUUGUGUCUUUGCUUGAAUCUUCAGUUGCAAUUUGUUGAUCAGGUAGGUUUGAUGAUGAGGCUUCAUUGGUUGCUGGUGCAGGGGUCUGUGUAGGAUCUUCAAUUGGUAGACAAGCGAGGAUGUUGUACUUUGCUACAAUUGUGUUUUGUAGAGGAUGAGUGAAUUUCCUGACUUGAAAACGAAAUGUGCUCAUAUGGAGCUUUAUAUUGAUGUCUGCAAUAUCUGGAAUUUGGUUCUGUGGACAUUGGUUUCUGAAUGAGUAUGUCUUUGGUUUGGUAUAUGAAUAGUGUGAAUAAAUUUGUAUUCUAUAAAAAGUAAUGUUGUUAAUGUUCAAAAUUACCUUUAGUGUCAUGUAGAGUAUGUCUUCAGCAGAGAUGUUGAGAAUGUGUUGAGCAUGCUGGUCUUCAAUUUGUGCAGUAAUUGUUCCAGUAGUAUCAGACAGUUGCACUAAGAACUUGAGCCUGCAUUAAGUAUUAUGGUUUUGUUAUGUUAUGAUAAGAAGAAUGUUAUGAAUUUUAGUGUGUAAAUAUGUUUAUGGAUUUACCUUGGCAGUGGUUUUGCAAAUGUCAUGUUGCAAUGACGGCAUAAGAAGUUGAAAUUUGCUUGAGCUCCAGUUUGUUUCUUGCAAUUAGAAGCUGGACAGGUAAGGAUGUAGAGUCGAUGUUGAGGCUGAACUAUCUUUGCUUUGGCUUUGAUCCAGAAUGGCUUUGCCUGUAAGAUUUCAUGUGGUUAAAUAUUAGAUUUUGUUGUGAUAGUAUUUGUUAUCGAAUAUAUUGUAUUUUGUACUGAUAAAUGUAGUAGUUGUACCAGAUAAGGAGUAUUUAGUGCAUAGCUGAUGUCGUGCAUAUGUUCUUCAGGAGGAGGUUGGACUGUUUGAUGAGUUGCAUCAUAAAGUUUUUUUGCUAAAACUUGCUCAAUAUAAGGUCUGCUUGCUUUGGUCCUGUUAUAUUGUAUAGGAUGGUGUCAGAUUUUGGUUAUAAUGUGCCUAACGAAUAAGUAAAUAUUGACUUUAUCAACUUACCAACUUUUGAGUUCUAGUGCUUGAGGGAUUUGUGGAUCAAACAAGAUAGCACUCAUUGUUUGUGUCUCGACAGAUAAAACUGUUAUAUGAUUAUUUGAAAAAUUAGUACUAUAUUCUGUAAAGCAGAUAAUAUACUUGACUUUUGUAAGUUUAUAUGAAUUAGGGACAGAUUGACAUACCAUGUACUGAAGUCACUUUGGCUCUUGUUAUAAUCAAUGUCGGGGAUUGAUUUAAGAUCCUCAGAAGGUAUUGUGCUUCAAUGUCAAUGAAUUUUGGCCACAUUGUAAGUAUCAUUGGCUUUUGUCUGCAUCAGUUAUCAAUAGUUAAUAUGAGUUUUGUGUUGUAUUGCACUUUAUUAAUUUGCAUUGUUUUUAUACUUACUCUUGAUUUAGGAUGAUGAAUUCUUGAAUUGGAUAAUCGCCUCUUUGUCGUGCAAUGAAGCGACGGGGAAGAGCUCCAAUGACAGUGCAUAGCAGAGCUGAGACAAGAGCAUUAGGUAUUAGUAUUGAUAUGUAAGAAUCAUUGUAGUAACAAUGUAAUGAAAAUUAUUAAAGUGAAGUAGUACUUAUCGGAUUUGUAUUUGUAUCCAUGUACUUAUAGAAGUCUCUGAAUGGUGUAAAAUUGUAGCACUGAUCGAUAGGAUACUGGUUUUCUUGAUCUGCUUCUUUGAUGAAUGUACCUCUGGUCAAGGUUAGUUGAAAUGGUGAAGUGCAGUAUCUGAAAUUUU